rnacentral:rRNA from 1 species
AGUGAACGCUGGCCGUAGGCCUAACACAUGCAAGUCGAACGGAAGAACAGUAAGAGUUUGCUCUUACGGGUGGCGAGUGGCGGACGGGUGAGGAAUACAUCGGAAUCAACUUUUACGUGGGGGAUAACGUAGGGAAAGUUACGCUAAUACGGCAUAAGACCUACGGGUGAAAGCAGGGGAUCUUGGGACCCUGAGCGAUUGAAUGAGCUGAUGACGGAUUAGCUAGUUGGCGGGGUAAAGGCCCACCAAGGCGACGAUCCGUAGCUGGUCUGAGAGGAUGAUCGGCCACACUGGAACUGAGACACGGUCCAGACUCCUACGGGAGGCAGCAGUGGGGAAUAUUGGACAAUGGGCGCAAGCCUGAUCCAGCCAUACCGCGUGAGUGAAGAAGGCCUUCGGUUUGUAAAGCCCUUUUGUUGGGAAAGAAAAGCGGCAUCUUAAUACCCCGCUGUUCUGACGGUACCCAAAGAAUAAGCACCGGCUAACUUCGUG